rnacentral:SRP_RNA from 2 species
GCCAGGUGUGGUGGCUCACACCUGUAAUCCCAGCACUUUGGGAGGCUGAGGUGGAUGGAUCACCUGAGGUCAGGAGUUCAAGACUAGCCUGGCCAAUAUGGUGAAACCCCAUCUCUA